GAUGAACGCUGGCGGCGUGCCUAAUACAUGCAAGUCGAGCGAAUGGAUUAAGAGCUUGCUCUUAUGAAGUUAGCGGCGGACGGGUGAGUAACACGUGGGUAACCUGCCCAUAAGACUGGGAUAACUCCGGGAAACCGGGGCUAAUACCGGAUAACAUUUUGAACCGCAUGGUUCGAAAUUGAAAGGCGGCUUCGGCUGUCACUUAUGGAUGGAACCGCGUCGCAUUAGCUAGUUGGUGAGGUAACGGCGCACCAAGGCAACGAUGCGUAGCCGACCUGAGAGGGUGAUCGGCCACACGGGGACGUAGACACGGCCCAAACUCAUACGGGAGGCAGCAGUAGGGAAUCUUCCGCAAUGGACGAAAGUCUGACGGAGCAACGCCGCGUGAGUGAUGAAGGCUUUCGGGUCGUAAAACUCUGUUGUUAGGGAAGAACAAGUGCUAGUUGAAUAAGCUGACACCUUGACGGUACCUAACCAGAAAGCCACGGCUAACUACGUGCCAGCCGCCGCAGUAA
rnacentral:rRNA from 1 species